AACCAUAUGAAAUGCAGCAAGUUUUGUCACACCCCAAUUCUCGGUCACGUGCCCAUCCUUAUUUUAUCUGGUCGAUUUUAAACUUGCGAUAUCCCAGGACUACGUAUCGCCGACCCUUUCAUUUAUUAAGCACAUGCGGAAGCAGUUAUUAAUCCCCAGACAACAAAACAAUGGGAUAGAAAAGUAGGGCCAUAAUUUCCAUACUGAAAUUCACAACCACUAUUUUACACAAAGCACCUCAUAAUAUAUAAUGUAAUACUAUUCACAGGGGUCUAAUCUAACACUUCUCCAUAUAUAAUCAAGGUCUGACAAAACAAGAUGGGAUCUUAGUCCUCAUUCGGGUCGUACUCAGGAUCCUCCUCGUGGUCAUCUUCUUCUCCAAAAUGUUCCUCCUCAUUUGGUUCCACAUCAGGGUUCUCCUCUUCAGGUUCCUUCUCCUCAGGCUCCUCAUCAGGGUCCUGAAAUGAUUAUUCAAUAACCAUUGAGACCACAUCUCAGCAAGUUCUACCCCCUAAGACUCGAUUAGUAAACUAAUACACCUUAGGGCUGCCUACGCAAAACACGAGUCAGAGGACUUACCUGGGCCUCAGAUUCCACCUGCAUAUUAGCACAGAUCAAAUAGGCACCCAAGCAAUCACAUCACAGAUCGAAGCAUCGAUCUAAUCGACUUAACCGAUUACACACCAAAAACACCAUCCAUGGCCAUCUCCAUUCCAUCAUUCAAUUCGCAACAUCAAAUCAAGGCAAAGAUCAAUCACAUUAAAUCACACUCAGAUCGAAUCAUCAAUCAAUCGACCUAGUCGAUUACAUGUCAAUCAGACCAUCUCAUGGUCAUUUCCAAUCAAUCGGUCCAUUCACAACAUCAGAUCAAGCAAUGAUCAAUCGACCUAGUCGAUUACAUGUCAUCACGACCCAUGCUUGGUCGGCACAUUCAAUACUAUCUAUACGUCCGACCAUAGUCCAGGACUGCUCACUCUAAGCUGAUAUAUAGAUAGUAUAGCUCGCACUAAGCUGAUAGGGUUAAGGUAUACUACUCUCGCUAAGCUGACAUAUCGCCCGUAGGCUGAUAUAAUAUACCGGUAUACUGCUCUCGCUAAGCUGACAUAUCGCUUGCAGGCUGAUAUAGUAUACCCCCGAUGCUCACACUGAGCUGAUAAAGUGUACUGCUCGCGCUAAGCUGACAUAUCGCCCGUAGGCUGAUAUAGUACACCAGUAUACUGCUCUCGCUAAGCUGACAUAUCAGAGCCCGUAGGAUGAUAUAGUAUACUAUCCGACCAUUCAAUCCAUUCCAUCUUUUAUCCUUCUCGAUAAAAUAGCCGUGUGUGGGGACACGGUUGGGCUUAGCCAAAAUAUAAUAUUUUCCUUUCCAUAACUCCCACAUUUUCUAUAGUCCACUCAAAUAAUUUUGGCAUUAUUAAUCGAUGCCCGGUUAUUUUUCAAUUAAUAACCAAUGAUCAUCCAAUUAAAGAAUGAUUCCCUCUUUCACAAAUAAUUCAAUUCAGCAUGAAAUAGAGCUCAAUUAAAUAAACAGACUGCACCACGAUCAUCAGCAUAAAAUUCCGGUCGCUGGCCAUCCCAGUUGAAUUUCCGGGAAAUAAAUAAUUAAAUAAUUAAUUUCGAAAAAUAAAUAAAUAAAUACAAUAAAUUCAAUUUAGCACAAUAUAAAGCUCAAUUAAAUAAAUGGACUGCACCACGAUCAUCAGCAUAAAAUUCCGGUCGUCGGCUAUCCUUGCCUAAUUUCCGGAAAAUAAAUAAUUUAUUAAAUUAAUUUCGAAAAUUAAUAAUUAAAUACUAAAAAUCCAAUUUAGGCCCAUAAUGCCUAAUUGGACGCCAGAACGGAUCGGGAAAAAUCCCGAGAUGCAUUCAAUAAAUAGAAGUACGUCUCUACUUGCUAAUAACUAAGUCUAACCACCUAACAUGCAUCAUUAAGUCACUAAUCUAAUUGUCCUAAACUAAUCUAACCACCUAAUUGCACUUAAUUAAAUCUAACCAACCCUUAAGCAUAAUUAGCAAACUAAGAAAGCAUUAGUGAGUAAAACUCACUUGGUAAAAGCGGAGACUGAAUCACCACGAUGGCAACGCGACAACAGCCGAAACUCCAGUUUUCGGCGAUAUCGACGGGCACACGGACCGGGCCUAAAAGCCUCGCAAGCCCACAGAAAAUUCUGGGCUUGGACUGAACUUGGGCCUGAGCUUGGGUUGACUUGCUUAGCGGGCUUGGGCUUCAAGAUUGGGCUGCUGAAUUGGGCCUCAAAUUACUGGGCUGAUCUUGCUUUAAAGAAACUGUUGGGCUGAUUUCUUGAGGGCCUGACUUUGCUUGGGCUUCAAAUGGCGUGGGCUCAAUGAAGCUGCUGUUCACUUGGGCUGCGACAAUUUCGUGUGGGCUGCUGUACGCUUGUCUUCGGAUGAGAUGGACUCGGACGAGAUGACCGAUCGAAGAAGCAGCAAAGGCUGCUGUUGGGCCACGAAAACUAAAGACCAACGUUACUGGAGAAGGCAGUUUUGCUGGCAGAUUGCUUCGGCAAGGAAAUCCACGGAUGCGGGGUCAACGGCGAGGAAAGCAGCUGGAUUCUUGACCGCGUGGAGUGAAGAUCGGUGGGGGAGAGAGAGACGUGCACAGAGACGAGCGGAGGUGGGAGCUUCGAGCGGUUUGCUGGUCAACAACCGACAGCUUCGGUGAACUUCUUUCGUUGAAAUAAGCUUGACCGAACAAGCUGGAUGGACUUCGGCUUCGCUGACAGCUUCAAGGAAUUUCGGUGGAGAGACAGCAAGAGGGGGAGAGAGAUCACGGGGCUGUGGUCUUCGAUGAUGCUGGGCCGGGAGACGCGGACGAAGGAAGUAGCAGCUACGGUCUAUGUUGCUGGAGUCAACACUCGAACAUGGGGUUUAACUGGUGUUGACUGUGGGGACGCAUGGCUGUAAGAUGGAGGGGUCUGCAAACCGAAGUCAGCUUCGGUUGAGUUGGGGUUGCUUCAGCGGCUCGUCUUCAUGAAGUUGGAUGAAGAUACGUCGAAGAAAAAGAACAAAAAGGGGCAGAAGGUUUCGGUAGAGAUGGCGGUUCUUUGCAAAGAGGAGUGAAAGCGAAGCAGAACCGCAAAGAUGGAGAGGGAAUGAUCGUGGAACCGCUGUUUGCUUUGACGAGAUGAAAAGAAAAGUGAGGCAAAAGCAGGAGACGUCGCACAAAUGGAGGGAGGCGGUGGACAGGCGUGCGAUGGAAGGAAG
rnacentral:lncRNA from 1 species